rnacentral:rRNA from 1 species
AUGGUCCUCGUUCGCUACGGUGUCUCUUACCUCAUCGAACAUCCCCCGCCACCCAAUGCCGAUGCCGCCUAUCUUGAACUUCAUGCCCAUGUUGCCCUUUGGAUCUAAGCCACUCUCUCUGAUGCCAUGGUGGACCAUGUCGUCGGCGCCACCACCACGUUCGCCCUCUGGAAGAAGAUCCAUGACUACUUCCUCUCGAACCGCGCCGCCCGGUUCAUGAUCCUCAACAGGCAAUAUCGCAACCUUAAGCAGGGCGAUCUCUCUGUCCAGGAGUACGCCCGCCGCGUGAAACACCUGACCGAUGGUCUCGCCGACAUCGAGCACGUCGUCACCGAGGUUGAUCUCACAACCCAAUUCCUCCACGGUCUUGACAAACGCCUCGACACCAUCCGUGUGGUCCUUGGUGAUCAGGGGCUGCCAUUCGACGUCGUGCUCUCCCGUGUCACCCUGGCCGAGGAGUCCAUGGCGCAACGCUCCGCUGAGGAAAGCGCCUUGGUGUUCGCCCUCCAGAACAGGGGCUCUUCUACUGGCAGUAGCUCGGGCACCGAUGGUUCUCGCGGAGACCGUGGCCAUGAGCGCACCACGGGCCCGUCGCCGCACCCCCCUGCCCAUGGCCGCGGCGACCGCUCGGGUGAAGUUGGUGACCGCGGCCGUGGGCGUGGUCGUGGCUGCGGCGGCCGCGGUCGUGGCGACUACAGCGGGCGCGGCCAGUCCACGGGUCCUUCCAUGGCGCCCUUCACCGGCUACUUCGCGCCCUAUGGGAUGGCCCUUCCCGCUCCUCGCUUUGGCUGGGUGCCCCCCAACGCGGCGGGCGUUCUUGGUCCGUGCUCGGGCGUCCGCGCUCGGGCUCCCAUGCACAGGCCUACCCCGUCCAGCACUCGGCUCCACCGACUCCUGCGCCCCACUACCCACCGGCGAUGUACUAUCCUCCUCCGCCGCCCUCAUGGGACCACUUCGCCAUGCUGA